AGUGAGAAUGCCGGAAUGAGUAGCGAGAAUUAUGUGGGAAUCAUAAUGGCCGAAAAUCUAAGGUUUCUUGGGGAAGGUUCGUCCGCCCAAGGUAAGUCGGGAGCUAAGCUCAGGCCGCGAGGCGUAGGCGAUGCACAUACGGUAGAAAUUCCGUAACCACCGAACUUUAAGCAUGAGGGACACUUUGAGAUAGCGGAACCCGGGCGUUGGUUGACCCGGGCGAAAGGGACCGAAAUAUAGUAGGGAAGUCCGCGAUGCUCGGAGGCGAGAAAAGCUCAUGUGUAUACUAAGGUGCCCGUACCGCAAACCGACACAGGUAGAUGAGGAGAGAAUCCUAAGGCCAACGGGAGAAGGGUUGUUAAGGAACUCGGCAAGAUGACCCCGUAACUUCGGAAGAAGGGGAGCCUCGAAAGAGGCCGCAGUGAAUAGGCCCAAGCAACUGUUUACCAAAAACACAGGUUUAUGCUAAAUCGAAAGAUGACGUAUAUGAGCUGACGCCUGCCCGGUGCCGGAAGGUUAAGAGGAGAUGUCAACCGCGAGGUGAAGCAUUGAAUUGAAGCCCCGGUAAACGGCGGCCGUAACUAUAACGGUCCUAAGGUAGCGAAAUUCCUUGUCAGGUAAGUUCUGACCCGCACGAAAGGCGUAAUGAUUUGGGCACUGUCUCAACAGCCCGCCCGGCGAAAUUGUAGUACUGGUGAAGAUGCCAGUUACCCGCAACUAGACGGAAAGACCCCAUGGAGCUUUACUGCAGCUUAAUACUGGAAUUCGGUAAAUCAUGUACAGGAUAGGUGGGAGACUGGGAAGCAUUGGCGUCAGCCAGUGUGGAGUCGCUGGUGGGAUACCACUCUUGAUUUGCUGGGUUUCUAACCUGCGGCCGUGAAUCCGGUCGGGGGACACUGUUAGGCGGGCAGUUUGACUGGGGCGGUCGCCUCCAAAAGAGUAACGGAGGCGCUCAAAGGUUGGCUCAGCACGGACGGAAAUCGUGCAAUGAGUGUAAACGUAUAAGCCAGCCUAACUGCGAGACCGACGGGUCGAGCAGUAACGAAAGUUGGAGUUAGUGAUCCGGUGGUAUGUGAGUGGAAAUGCCAUCGCUCAACGGAUAAAAGCUACCCUGGGGAUAACAGGCUGAUCUCCCCCAAGCGUCCACAGCGACGGGGAGGUUUGGCACCUCGAUGUCGGCUCGUCACAUCCUGGGGCUGUAUUCGGUCCCAAGGGUUCGGCUGUUCGCCGAUUAAAGUGGCACGCGAGCUGGGUUCAGAACGUCGUGAGACAGUUCGGUCCCUAUCUGUUGCGGGCGUAAGAGAUUUGAAGGGAGCUGUCCUUAGUACGAGAGGACCGGGAUGGACGUACCUCUGGUGCACCAGUUGUCCUGCCAAGGGCAUAGCUGGGUAGCUAUGUACGGACGAGAUAAACGCUGAAAGCAUCUAAGCGUGAAACUCCCCCUAAGAUGAGAUCUCUCAUCCUUCAUGGAGUAAGGGCCCAGGAAGACUACCUGGUUGAUAGGCAAGAGGUGGAAGCGCAGUAAUGUGUGUAGCUGACUUGUACUAAUAGCCCGAGGGCUUGACCU
rnacentral:rRNA from 1 species